rnacentral:tRNA from 2 species
GCUCGUGUAGUGUAGUUCGGUCCAUCAUGAUGGACUCUCGAUCCGUCGACCCGGGUUCAAAUCCCGGCACGAGCACCA